rnacentral:rRNA from 1 species
AGCGGCGGACGGGUGAGUAACGCGUGGGUAACCUGCCUCAUACACAUGGAUAACAUACCGAAAGGUAUGCUAAUACAAGAUGAUAUAAGAGAUUCGCAUGGAUUUCUUAUCAAAGCUCCGGCGGUAUGAGAUGGACCCGCGUCUGAUUAGCUAGUUGGUAAGGUAACGGCUUACCAAGGCGACGAUCAGUAGCCGACCUGAGAGGGUGAUCGGCCACAUUGGAACUGAGACACGGUCCAAACUCCUACGGGAGGCAGCAGUGGGGAAUAUUGCACAAUGGGCGAAAGCCUGAUGCAGCAACGCCGCGUGAGCGAUGAAGGCCUUCGGGUCGUAAAGCUCUGUCCUCAAGGAAGAUAAUGACGGUACUUGAGGAGGAAGCCCCGGCUAACUACGUGCCAGCAGCCGCGGUAAUACGUAGGGGGCUAGCGUUAUCCGGAUUUACUGGGCGUUAAGGGUGCGUAGGUGGUUUCUUAAGUCAGGAGUGAAAGGCUACGGCUCAACCGUAGUAAGCUCUUGAAACUGGGAAACUUGAGUGCAGGAGAGGAAAGUGGAAUUCCUAGUGUAGCGGUGAAAUGCGUAGAUAUUAGGAGGAACACCAGUAGCGAAGGCGGCUUUCUGGACUGUAACUGACACUGAGGCACGAAAGCGUGGGGAGCAAACAGGAUUAGAUACCCUGGUAGUCCACGCCGUAAACGAUGAGUACUAGGUGU